CUAGUAAUCGUAGAUCAGAAUGCUACGGUGAAUACGUUCCCGGGCCUUGUACACACCGCCCGUCACACCAUGGGAGUGGGUUGCAAAAGAAGUAGGUAGCUUAACCUUCGGGAGGGCGCUUACCACUUUGUGAUUCAUGACUGGGGUGAAGUCGUAACAAGGUAACCGUAGGGGAACCUGCGGUUGGAUCACCUCCUUA
rnacentral:rRNA from 1 species